UGACGACGUGGGAAAUUUAUCUCGCGCGUAAUUUGCGCGGCGAAAAAUAAUUUGUCCUUCGUCUUUCGACAUUUGUUCUUUGUGGUUGUUUCGUUUCUCCAACAUCACGUUUCUUUUCCGAAUAUUAAACUUGGUUGUCGCGUUUUAAGUUUUGUUUAUUUGCAGUACAACUACGAAAGAAUAUGGUUGUUGACGCAUCAAAGGUUACGGAAAAGGAAGCAACACAAACUGAAACAAGUGAACAAGACUUGGAGAAUGAAUACGCCAUCAAUCUUGCAAAUGGAAAGAAAAAUCUACUCUGUGGGGAUUUUCCUGAGGCAGUAGCUUGUUUCCAAGCCACAUCGGCACUUCAAUCGGAAAGAUUUGGUGAAACAUCGCAUGAAUGUGCCGAGUCAUUCUAUUUCUAUGGUAAGGCAUUGCUGGAGUUGGCACGAGUUGAAAAUGGGGUGCUCGGAAAUGCUUUGAAAGGAGUUCCACAAGUUGAAGAAGCUUCAUCAGAAUCCGAAGGAGAAGGAAACCAGUUUGAAAAAACAAAGAAUUUACCAGUUGAAAAACGAAAAGAAUUAAGAGAGGAAGUGGUGGCUGCCAUGGCAACAGAGAAUGAAGAUGAGGACACACAAGAUGAGAGUGAAAAAGAUGACAAAGAUGAGAAAAAGGAAAAAGAUGAAAACCAGGAGAAAAAAGAUGAAAACAAAGAGAAAAAAGAUGAAAACAAAGAGAAAAAAGAUGAAAACAAGGAGAAAAAACAUGAAAACCAGGAGAAAAAAGAUGAAAAUGAGAAAGAAGAGAUGGAAUGCUCGGAAGAUAAACCAACCACAGAAGUACCUGAUGCAAAGCAAAAAGAGUCAAAAGAUGAUUCAACAAAGAAGAGUGAAGACACAAAGAAGGAAGAAAAACCAGCAGAUACUUCAGAUGUUCCCAUGGAAGCUGAUGAACCAAGCACAAGUGGGGGAGUUAAAGAUGAAGAUGUUAAAGAUGAAGACACCGAGGAUCCUGAUGAUGUUCCCAACAUGCAACUCGCGUGGGAGAUGUUGGAACUUGCUAAAGUUCUUUACCAAAAAAAACCGAAAAGUGAAGAUAAUUCUCUUCUGGUUGCGCAAUGUCAUUCGAAAUUAGGAGAGUUGGGACUUGAAGUUGAAAAUUAUUCUCAAUCCAUCGGGGACUUCCUUGAGUCGUUGGUCAUUCAUAAGGAACUUCUUGCAAAACAUGAUCGUAGAUUGGCAGAGACACAUUAUAACCUAGGUCUUGCAUAUACGUUCGAUAAGCGAUAUGAUAAUGCAUUGGAACAUUACACAGCUUCAUUGAAUGUCUUGGAUGCAAGAAUGGAAUACCUAAAUGAACGAAUUGAUGAAAACGACCGCAAGAAGGAAAAUCAAAGUGAAACAUUGGCUGAAUGUGCUGAGAUAGGAGAGAUCAAAGAUCUUCUGCCCGACAUUAACUCAAAGAUUGAGGAUGUGAUAAUCAUGAAGCGACAGGAAGGUAGAUUGGACGGCUCACCAUUCAGAACUCCUUCAAGUGCAGGUGCAGGUGGAAUUGGAAGCAAACGAUAUUGCUGCUGAAAAGAAUCUGCUGCAACAGAAAUCCCGAAAAGUCCGAUGAAACAAGCAACCAAUGAUAUUUCUCAUCUUGUUCGUAGAAAGCGUUCCUCACCCGAUGAUGAAUCGAAUGGAGUUUCAAAUGAAACUGCUUCAACCAAGAAAAUGAAGCAAGAAAAUGAACCAACUGCUGUCAUUCAAAGCAAUGGAAACCACAAUUCUGUGAAGGAAGUUACUGCGAAUGGAAGCAAUGAAAAGUGAGCCAGGAUUUAAAGUUCUUUCAUGCUGAUUAAAAACAGUUCCAUUUUUUUUUCUACCACUGCCAUUUGUUUGUACAUUGCGUUCUCCCAAUAAAUUGUGUUUAACUGCAU